rnacentral:tRNA from 1 species
AUCGAGGUAGCUCAAUGGUAGAGCAGUGGAAAUUAGCUUCUUUGUCCUAGGUUCGAAUCCUGGUCUCGGUA